rnacentral:rRNA from 1 species
CUCUUUCUUGAUUCGGUGGGUGGUGGUGCAUGGCCGUUCUUAGUUGGUGGACGAUUUGUCUGGUUAAUUCCGAUAACGAACGAGACUCUAGCCUGCUAAAUAGGUGGCGGGUUUUGAUUUUCGGCGCGCCGGGGUUUUGCUUUCGGGUUUUGCUCCGGCGCGUCCGUACACUGGGAGUUCGAGCCGGCUGGAUCAGGGCUCGGUUCGGGGCUGCGGUGUCGGUGGGCUGCGGCGGUGGUGCGUUCGGGGGCGUUUCGGCGUUUUCGGGCGUGCUGUCGCUGUGGUCUGUCGGCGUCGCGGUUUCGGGUCGGGUUCCCGGCCGUAAACUCGGGCUCUCGCGUCCGUCACAGCUCUUCUUAGAGGGACAAGCGGCGUCCAGCCGCGUGACAGUGAGCAAUAACAGGUCUGUGAUGCCCUUAGAUGUCCUGGGCCGCACGCGCGCUACACUGAAGGAAUCAGCGUGUUUCACUCUCCCUGUCCGAAAGGACCGGGUAACCGCUGAACCUCCUUCGUGG